rnacentral:rRNA from 1 species
GAUGAACGCUGGCGGCGUGCUUAACACAUGCAAGUCGAACGAUGAAGCCUACUUUCCCGGGUGGAUUAGUGGUGAUCGGGUGAGUAACAUGUGAGUAACCCGCCCUUGAUUUUGGUAUAAGCCUGGGAUACUGGUUCUAAUCCUGGUUUUGUUCUCUCUCCGCCUGGUGGGUGGUGGCUGGAUUGAUUGGUGUUGUUUUGACUCUCGGCCUGUCAGCUUGUUGGUGUGGUAUUGUCUCACGAAGGCGACGAUGGGUAGCCGGCCUGAGAGGGUGACCGGGCACACUGGGACUGAGACAAGGCCCAGACGCCUACGGGAAGAAGGAGUGAGGAAUAGAACACGGAGGGAGCGAGGCUGAUGCAGCGAAGCCGCGUGAGGGAUGGCGGCCUUCGGGUUGUAAACCUCAAGCAGUAGGGAAGGAACGAGGGUGACGGUACCUGCAGAAGAAGCGCCGGCUAACUACGUG